GACCGGGAACGGGGAGCGCGGCCGCCAGCACCCCCGAGCCGCCGCCGGACCCCCCCGUCGCCCCGGGCCGCCCCCGCCCCCUGCGGUCCCCGUACGAUGAGCUGCCGCACUACCCAGGCAUCGCGGAUGGCCCUGCAGCCCUGGCUGGCUUCCCAGAGGCAGUGCCCGCAGCACCAGGGCCCUAUGGCCCCCACCGGCCUCCCCAGCCCCUGCCCCCAGGCUUGGACAGCGACGGCCUGAAGAGGGAGAAGGAUGAGAUCUAUGGACACCCGCUCUUCCCCCUCUUGGCGCUGGUCUUUGAGAAAUGUGAACUGGCUACAUGCUGUCCCCGUGACGGGGCUGGAGCUGGGCUGCGGACACCCCCCGGCGGCGACGUCUGCUCCUCUGAUUCCUUCAACGAGGACAUCACAGCCUUCGCCAAGCAGGUUCGCUCUGAGAGGCCCCUCUUCUCCUCCAACCCAGAACUGGACAAUCUGAUGAUCCAGGCCAUCCAAGUGCUGCGAUUCCACCUGCUG
rnacentral:sRNA from 1 species